CCUCCUCCUUCCCUUCACUCGGGGCAUAGCAGGGCCUACUGCUCCUCCCAGUACGUCAUGGCAGCCUACAGAGAAGAGUUGGUGGUGGUGACUGUCGGCAGGUCACUCCUCAGACACAGGAGCAAGUUCCCCUUGCUAGAACUGCUGUCAAGCCCUGGGAGUCACAGCAGACAUGAAGGAAACAUCUCUCAAGGAGACAGCAGCACUAAGAGCAGCUCUGUCCUGCUACAGGUGUAGUACCAUGCUAAGACCCACACCUGGGCUCACGCUUGGCACAUCAUGAGCAAACAAAAUGCAGCUUCCAGUCAGUGCCUUCACUUCGAAGCCAGAAACCCACUAAGGACUUGAAACAAGUUACAGCAGUCUUCAGAGGCCAAGGAUACAAGGACAGAAUGAGCUCCCUGCUGUUACAGUUCCUGAGCCCAGCUGAUACGAUGACGCCAUGAUGUGAAGUCUCCAAAGAGAUCACUGUAAAAUGCAAUCAGGACUUCCCAGCACGUGCAGUGUUAGGAUCUGAAUUAAGCUCACUAGACUCCAGACUACCCGGCUUUUCUUCUUGAGUUAUAAAUCAAAUCACAGUCAGGUAUAGUAAAUGAUCUAAAAGUCUCACCCAGAGCAUUUCCUAAUCCUGAGCAAUGGGCUGUUGGGUACUCUCACCCACACAGAAAGAUCACAGGGAGUGACCUCUUGAGCUAAGCGCUCAUUUGUCACUUGUGUCACUUUGAAUGAGUACAGUGAGUUAGUUCUUUUUUCUUU
rnacentral:lncRNA from 1 species